UACGUAGGUGGCAAGCGUUGUCCGGAUUUACUGGGCGUAAAGAGCGCGCAGGCGGUCGAUCAAGUCGCGUGUGAAAGCCCCCGGCUCAACUGGGGAGGGUCACGCGAUACUGAUCGACUCGAAGGCAGGAGAGGGUAGUGGAAUUCCCGGUGUAGUGGUGAAAUGCGUAGAUAUCGGGAGGAACACCAGUGGCGAAGGCGACUACCUGGCCUGUUCUUGACGCUGAGGCGCGACAGCAUGGGGAGCAAACGGG
rnacentral:rRNA from 1 species